ACGCGCAUUAGAAGCGAGUGGGCGUCUUUCUCUCUCCCUAUCCGGUUACGACUCUGGCAACACUUUCUUCUACUUUGCGUCGUCUUCCCAAUCUUUUCCUCGUUUUCAAGCAAGAUUCCACCACUUCCCACCGUUGACCUCUACAUACACAAAUACAUACAAUGCCUACUUAUCAUGUAUACGUCAAUCAUCUUGAAGUUAUGGUUACUGAUGCAAUGAUUGAACCCAAAAAGAAGAGAUCUUUCAUGUGCAGUUGCCUUCCAUCGGCAAUUCUACUUUCGGCAGUUUUCUUUAUAGGGAGUGCUUUUUUUGUCACUGAUUACAAGCAGAGGUUUUUGGGAUGUAAUCUUUACCCAGUCAAGGCUGCAAAAUCCAAGAUCUGUGAGAAUGAGUGCAGGCCUGAUGGAACUGAAACACUGCCUAGAGGUAUUGUUUCUAGAACUACUGAUUUAGAGAUGCGAUCACUCUGGGGCCCUCCUAAGAAGAAGUUGAAGUCACCAACGAACUUAUUGGCUAUUGCAGUUGGAAUAAAGCAAAAGCAAAAUGUAAAUGAAAUUGUCAAAAAGUUUCCACUGACUGAUUUUGCCAUCAUGCUUUUUCACUAUGAUGGCAAUGUCGAUGGUUGGAGAAAUUUAGAAUGGAGCAACAGUGUCAUACAUGUUUCUGCCAUUAACCAAACUAAAUGGUGGUUUGCCAAGCGGUUCUUACAUCCAGAUGUUGUUGCACAAUAUGACUAUAUUUUCCUUUGGGAUGAAGAUCUUGGAGUUGAAAAUUUUCAUGCUGGAAGAUAUCUAUCAAUUAUUAAAGAAGAGGGACUUCAGAUAUCACAGCCAGCAAUAGAUGCUGACAAAUCUGAGGUGCAUUACAAACUUACUGCACGGGAAACAAGUUCUAAAGUACACCGGAGGGCUAUCAACUUACGCGGUCCAGGAAGGAGGUGUUAUGAAAAUAGUAUGGAACCUCCAUGUACAGGGUUUGUUGAGAUGAUGGCUCCAGUUUUCUCAAGGGCAUCAUGGCGUUGCGCAUGGUACAUGAUUCAGAAUGACCUCGUCCAUGCAUGGGGCUUGGAUUUUCAGCUUGGUUACUGCGCACAGGGAAAUAGGACCACAAAUAUCGGCAUUGUUGACUCUGAGUAUGUAAUUCACUUGGGGCUUCCGACACUUGGAGGACAAACGGUGAAGUCGGAAAGCAAUCUUCGUCAAAUGAAAAGUUGCCUAAUGCAGGGAAAAUGGUGGCAUCUAAACUGGAGCAAUCAGAAGAUAGAAAUGCUGUGCGGAAAGAGUCCUUCAUCGAAUUAGACAACUUCAAGAAUCGAUGGAGGAAAGCUGUGAGAGAAGACAAAUGCUGGGUAGAUCCACUUCAGCAGCAGCAUCCGAAGCAGAGCUGAUCAUAGUUCUUGGUACAGACUGAGAUGAUUUUUUCUCCAAGAUGAUGGAAAUAGAUACCAGCAGAACAGCUUCCGAACAUCAUAUACCCUCUCCCAUGUACAUCAUCUGUUUAUGACACAGAAAAAUUGAACUGUUAUUAUUUUUGCUUA